rnacentral:snRNA from 1 species
AUACAUACCUGGCAAGGGAGGUACCAUGAUCACGAAGGUGGUUUUCCCAGGGCGAGACUUAUCCACUGCACUCUGGAUGUGUGAUUUCCCCAAAUGUGGGAAGCUCGACUGCAUUAUUUGUGGUAGUGGGGAACUGCAUUUGUGCUCUCCCCUA